GGGCUUUGUCCUAGUUGCCUGGAAGUCAGUAUUCUGCUAGCAGCCUUCAGAUAAAGAUGUAGAACUCUCAGCUCCUCCUGCACCAUGCUUGCCUGGAUGCUGCCAUGUUCCCACCUUGACCAUAAUAGACUGAACCUCUGAACCUGGUCUUGUAUCCUGGCUCCAUGAUUAAGAGCAGUGAUGUUCUUGCAGAAGGUCCAAGUUCAGUUCUGUGACAGCUUCCAGGUGAUGAAGAGCAUAUCCAUUCCAGAGGUCCAAUUUCAGCUCCAGGGAAUCCAACAUAAUUUUAUGGCUGCUGUGGACACCUGCACAUUCAUUUCUAUUGUCCAUGUGAUGGGAGAGCGAACUCAACAACGACAUUGAUUAAACUUUGCACUCGAACGACACUGAUCCAAGACUCACUCCGUGGUGCUAAGUGUCCUUGUCCAGGAGAUCCUAACAGCCACCUUUGGCUUCUACAGGCAGGGCACACACAUGUUGCCCUUAA
rnacentral:lncRNA from 1 species